UCUUUUGCAGCAAAGAAGGUUCUGGAAGGAGCAGCGAGGAGGGAGGAUCUCAGGGAGCCGAGACGUUUGACCAUCUGUGUUGCCUUUAGGACGUGUCGAGGUCGUCACGGACUGACCCCGCCCCCAGGAGCGCCGCUCACAAGAGAACGACCUCAGACCAGAUUUUAUCGAGUGACCAAAGGAUCGAAAAGACUGCUUUGGUGUUCCGGCGUGGAGAAGUGGUGGUACUGGGUACCGGAAGCCCCGCAGGUGAAUGUUUGGUCCCCAUGGAGGGUGAGCAGGGGGGAGUCUCCGACACAUCCAGGUGUUUCUGCAGAGGUUUAUGGAUUCUUCACGGAUCAUCCGGAUCUGUUCUCUGCUGAUCUCAUUCAACAAGAGAUUACUGUGAAGAUCACAACAUGAAUCUGCAGGAUUCCAGCAGAUUAACAGGAUGAGGGACAGCAUGAAGCCGAGAAGCCGCAGACCAAAAAGGCCAAAGUUUUGCAGAAGCAGCUUCUGAUGAGCAAGCUCGCCGCUUACGUUCACCAGCAGGGCGGAGUCAGGAAGAGCGGUCUGCAGGAGUCCAGUGGAGGACUGAGGUUCUGGUCUCAGAGGAACCGAGCAGAAACCAACGGCUCCUCUGUGGAGUUCCUCUCUAACGAGGAGCAGUAGAACUUCCUGCGUCUCCUCAUCGUUUCCUGUGAGCGUUGUCUCGUUCAUGAGUUUAGCUCCGCCCCCUCUCCUUCAGCAGAGAGGCUACUCCAGCGUGUGGACGACCGCUCGCCGUCCGGCUCCAUGCAGUCUGUCUCCUUCACGCUGCUCCUCUGAAGAGGAGGACGCCGUCAUCCUGACUCCGCCCCCUCCACUGCAAUGUGCCGCCUUCCUCAGCCCAGCAGACCUGUAGGAGUCCCGGCGCCCCCCAGUGGUCAGCACGGGCGUCUGCAUCCCUGAACUUCAGACGGCAGGAGAAGAUCGGAAGCUCAAACAGCAACACCUGAGCAGGUGUUCCAGAGGAGACACUGUCACCUCCUCCAUCGUCUGUGGUAACGGGGGAGGGGCUUCACUUUGAAGUGAUGAUUGACAGCUGACAGGCUCCAGGUCGUUCUGGUUGCACCUGCGCUCUGACACUUCAGGAGCUGCUGGACGCUGCCGGAGGUCCGGUCCAACAAAAAAGAAAGAAAAAGAUCUAAAUAGAGUUUCUGCUCAGUAAACCUGUUGUGACGGUAAAUUCUAACACUAGAGGCUCUCCGACAAGUUAAACAAAAGGAGAGAGUUUCAGCUGAAGCUGAAGGAAGCUGAAACGGCGUUUGGUCUGAACUUCCUUCUGAAAGACCAGCGUUCUGUCAGGAUCCAGUUUAGGUUCUGCUGAAGCUGAAGCUGAGCUUCCAUGGUCUCAACGUUCUCGUCUCGUUAGCUCAGUUCAGUGACAUUCAUGAGCCCGUCUCCAUGGUAACCGUCUGUGGGUCCGGGUGUCUCCGUCUCCUCAGAGCUGGAGAUCAGACGAUGACAUCAUCACCCCAACCAGAAGUUAGUGACCCCUCCUCUGUCAUCUACUGACCUUUAGAACCGGAUAAUCACUUUCAACCAGAACCCAAUGACCCCCUCCCCCUCAGGACCAUCACUGGUUCCCUUUCCUCAUCAUGCCCCCCCCUUAGCCCCUCCCCACUCUGAUCUCUGGAGCUGCUGUGCUCCGUCACACACUGCCCCCCCCUCAAUAGUUUGCCCUCUCCUGAACCUCAGCCGCUUUACCCCACCAUUAUGUCUUUACAUCCUGCAUCAGCCUCCUUCAUACUACCCCCCCGAAACCCCCAGAUCCAGUAAAAUCUAGUUAGUAAUGAUGUCAUGUGACCGGCCAAUCAGGGCAGAGCUGGUGUUCAUGGAGGCGUGGCUUUUUUGAGUGAUUUCAAAGAAGGACAGAGAUUGUUGUGAACACGACACUUUAUUGAUCAGUGUUUGCUCGAUGAAGAACGGGUCCGGAGAAGGGUGGGCGGGGCUCUGGCCGUCUCAGCUCCCUGAUUGGCUCUUUACUCGUACAGGUAGGGCUGGAAGCAGGAGGUGUAGUUCACGAACUCCUCGGCCUUGAACCACAGGUCAACCUCCCUCUUGGCGUUCUCCAGGGUGUCGCUGCCGUGGAUGAUGUUCCUGAGGAAAGGGCGGAGUCAGUGACGGCGUGGAACCAGACGCAACAUUUACAUCCUCUCACUGAAUGUAGCGACUUCCUCAACAUCGUUUUAUGUUAUUUCAUAGCAAACAUCAUAAAUAUUGACUUUGUGUUUGGAGAAUAAUUGAGAUAAAUUUAAAACCAAAGUUCAGUUUAGUUUCUGUUUGUUGUUCUCGUCCAGGUUCUGGAGGUUCUGGAGGUUCUGGAGGUUCUGGAGGUUCCGGCUCCUCACCUGCCGAUGUUGAUGCACAGGUCUCCGCGGAUGCUGCCGGGCUUGGAGUCGGCAGGGUUGGUCUCUCCCAACAUCAUCCUGACCAGCUUCACGAUGUUCUGACCCUCCCACACCUGAAACACAGCAGACCUGCUCAUGUCUGCGGUUCUGAUCCGAACCAGGACGCAGAACGAUCCUUCCUCUGACGAUCUGAGUUCGGUUUAGCUUAAGGCGAAUGCCGGAUCCUUCAUGACUGAGAGCUGAGAAGGUCUCAGUCAUGAAGGAUCAGCCCUCAGGAGCUCGACAGCAGUGCAUUGUGGGUGUUACCAUGGCGAAGAGGGGUCCAGAGGACAUGUAUUUGCAGAGUCCACCAUAGAAGGGCAUGUCCUUCAGGUCCAGGUAGUGCUGCUUCAGUUGGUCCUCAGAGGCCUGAGGGGAACGAAUGAAACAUCUGCAGGUUUUCUCUCACUUGGACUCUAAAAUCUACAGAGGACAGAGGAAAACAUGGUUUGGCCCCGCCCCUUAGUUACCUGCAGGAAUUUAGCGGCCACCAGCUUGAAGCCUCUCUGCUCCAGACGCCUAAUGAUCUCGCCACACAGUCCUCUCUGGACGCCAUCGGGCUUCACAGCGAUGAAGGUACGCUCCAUGUCUGCAGAGGGCGCAGGUUUAGAUGCCAUGACGACGACCUGCAGAUGCCAUGACGACGACCUGCAGAUGCCAUGAUGACGACCUGCAGACGCCAUCACGGCGCCCCUGCAGACGCCAAGAUGAGGACCUGCAGACGCCAUCACGGCGACCUGCAGACGCCAUCACGGCGACCUGGAGACGCCAUGACGACGACCUGCAGACGCCAUGACGACGACCUGGAGACGCCAUGACGACGACCUGGAGAUGCCAUCACGAUGACCUGCAGGCGCCAUCACGACGACCUGCAGAUGCCAUCACGACGACCUGCAGACGCCAUGACGACGACCUGGAGACGCCAUGACGACGCCAUGACGACGACCUGGAGACGCCAUGACGACGACCAGCAGACGCCAUCACGAUGACCUGCAGGCGCCAUCACGACAACCUGCAGAUGCCAUCACGACGACCUGCAGACGCCAUGACGACGACCUGCAGACGCCAUCACGAUGACCUGCAGACGCCAUCGCGAUGACCUGCAGACGCCAUCACGACGACCUGCAGACGCCAUCAUGACCACCUGCAGACGCCGUCAUGGCGACCUGCAGACGCCAUGACAACGACCUGCAGACGCCAUCAUGACGACCUGCAGACGCCGUCACGGCGACCUGCAGACGCCAUGACGACGACCUGCAGACGCCAUGACAACGACCUGCAGACGCCACCAUGACGACCCGCAGACGCCAUGACGACGACCUGCAGAUGCCAUCAUGACGACCUGCAGACGCCAUCACGACGACCUGCUGGUCGCCGUCAUGACGUCUCCAGACGCCAUCAUGGUGACCUGCAGACGCCAUCACGACGACCUGCUGGUCGCCAUCAUGACGUCUGCAGACGCCAUCAUGACGACCUGGAGACGCCAUGACAACGACCUGCAGAGAUGCUUCCAGUCUGAUCUGAAAACCUCUGAAGGUUUUUUUCAUCUCAGACUAAAGACAUUCUGAUUGGUCAGAUUCAGGGGUGUGACCCCGCCCCCAUAGAAACCUGUCAUUCUGCUGUCAGGUGUGAAUGUCUUCACCUGUGCUGCAGCUUUUUACUUCACAUCGUGUUUAUCGUCUCUGGGACACAUUUGUUCAUUUUUAUGUCGUUCUUUCUGGUUCAUACUUCAGCCGUUACAGAUUUUCAGCUGAUUCUGCAUGUUUCAGCCUGAUGAGCUGAAAAUCUGAGUCCUAACUGGAGCUUCACCCCAGACUCUCCAUGAAUCUCAACGUUUUCAUCUUCAAUUUGACUUUGAAUACUUUGAUUAACUGGAAAGUUUAAGGUUCUUCCUCCUUAACCUCAGACAGGAUCGACUCUGUCGCCCCCUGCUGGCCGACGCGGAACAUCAGCAGUUCUGGUUCUGAUUCUGAUCCAGUCCAGAAACUUAAAUCUUCUACAGGGGGGGUUCUGCUGGUCUUUGUUCUAGUCCCAUGACUGGAAUCUUCAGUCUCUCAUCAGAAACUCGACCCCCCCCCAGCUGUUCGGCUCUGCGGCUAAUUUUAUGCUGGAAUCUGAAGGCGUGGAGCUGCAGCUGACCGGCGCUAAACCAGACACCCCCAGCAUGAGAGAGGCGUUACCACGGCAACUGACAGAGAGGAUAAAACCUGCAGCUCAGUGAAGGAGAAAACAGUCUUUGGGAGGUCCCAGAACCAGAACGGCGGGCUUUCUCGGACCUCGUGCACGCAGCUGAAGAGCUCCCAGUCAAACGCCACCAGCUGGUUGGCCACCUCCUCUGCUGACAUGUCGUGGAGUUUGCUGUCGCCUGGCGUCCAGUGGAUCUCCUCAGGAAGAGGGAGCUGCGGGGGGAGGACAGGAUUACAACCAGAACCAGAACCGUAGGCGGCAGCAUCAGGAUGAAAAC